GAAGGUGGCGAGCGUUGUUCGGAAUUAUUGGGCUUAAAGAGCACGUAGGCGGAACAGAAAGUGUCUUGUGAAAACCCCCGGCUUAACCGGGGAAUUGCUUGGCAAACUUCUGUUCUUGAGUCAAGUAGGGGUACAUGGAACUCUUAGUGGAGCGGUGGAAUGCGUAGAUAUUAAGAGGAACGCCAAUGGUGAAGACAGUGUACUGGGCUUGUACUGACGCUGAGGUGCGAAAGCGUGGGGAGCGAACGGGAUUAGAUACCCCGGGUAGUCCACGCUGUAAACGAUGUCUACUAGGUUGUGGUUGUUCUGACACAUUCACAGCCGAAGCAAAAGUGUUAAGUAGACCGCCUGGGGAGUACGGUCGCAAGGCUA
rnacentral:rRNA from 1 species